AAUACUUAUUAAUGCCAACAAUGGAUGCCUAGGAGAUUUUGGCCGAGGAAGGACGCAGACGGCGGCGAUACUCGUCGGGGAGGUGUCAUCAACCUUUGAUCCGGCGGUUUCCGAAUGGAGCAAUCCGGCCAUCGUAAGAUGGUCAACCAAUCAUAAAAAUAGUUCCGUAAGGGAUUAUAUAGCGGUUGGCUGGGUACGGCGUGAACUGAAACAUCUUAGUAACGCCAGGAAAAGAAAUCAUAUGAGAUUCCCUUAGUAGCGGUGAGCGAAAGGGGAAGAGCCUAAACCCGCCGAUUCGGCGGGUGUUGCAGGGCAGACGAUAUUUGAGUGUUGCGAAUAGCAGAAAGAUCCGGAAUGAUCUUCCAAAGAAGGUGAAAGACCUGUAUGUGAAAUUCAAGACACCGAUAGUUUGUACCUAAGUACCAUGGAGCACGAUUAAACUCUGUGGGAAUCCGGGUCGACCACGAUCCAAGGCUAAAUACCAAAAUCUACCGAUAGUGAACUAGUACCGCGAGGGAAAGGUGAAAAGCACCCCGGAAGGGGAAUGAAAUAGAACUGAAAUUGUUGGCUAACAAGCAGACGAAGCUGGCUGUUGGUCUUUGGCUUUUAGCUAUUGGCUAUGAGGAAAAAUUAUUGUAGUCUAACGACGAAUAAUUUCUUGUGGCUAAAGACUAAUAGCUAGUGACCAAUAGCUAGUGACGUCGUGCCUAUUGAAGAAUGAGCCGGUGAGUUUUUGAUUGCUGCAUGUUUAACCAAUUUACAUUGGGAAGACGAAGUGAAAGCGAGCCUUAAUUGGGCUGUCGCUUUAAGCGACCAGUAGCAGUCAUUAAACCCGAAACCGGGUGAGCUAACCUUGAGCAGGGUGAACCCCGACUAAAGUCGGGGGGAGGCCCGAACUCGUGACUGUAGCAAUAGUCUGAGAUGACUUGAGGUUAGGGGCAAUAUGCCAAACGAACCCGGAGAUAGCUGGUUCUCCCCGAAAUAUAUUAAGGUAUAGCGCUUGGUAAUUAAAGCAGGAGGUAGAGCACUGAAUGGUUUGCGGCGACGCAAGUUGUCGUAACCAAUCAAACUCCGAAUGCCUGUCUUUUUUAUCCAAGUAGUCAAUCUUGUCGGUCUAAGCCGAUGAGAUUAAAGGGAAACAGCCCAGACUCCCGAUUAAGGCCUCAAAAUAGAAGCUAAGUUUUUAAGGAAGUCAAAUUCCAGAGACAACCAGGAGGUUGGCUUAGAAGCAGCCAUCCUUUAAAGAUAGCGUAACAGCUCACUGGCGGAUGGAAUUUGGCGCCGAAAAUGUAACGAGGAUUAAGCUUCUUGCCGAAAUCGGAGACCUUUUGCUAGAGACUUUAGAGUAGUUAAGCCCCACUUCGCUGAAGCUUCGUUAGGGGCCACCCUUCGCUUGAAAAAGUGAAAGUUGGCAUACGAGGUAAAGCGUUGCUGGAAAAUUGGCUUGCCACUCCGAAGCCUCUGGCGAAGGGUGGUAGGGGAGCGUCUUAAGUGCAGUGAAGUCGGUCUGUAAAGAUAGAUGGAGCGCUUAGGAGUGAGAAUGCCGGCAUGAGUAGCGAAAUGCGCCUGAGAAUGGCGCACACCGAAAGCCCAAGGUUUCCUCCGCAAUGUAUGUCAACGGAGGGUAAGUCGGGUCCUAAGGGAGUUCCUCGUUAAAGGGGAUUAGUCCGAUGGACAAGUCGUUAAUAUUCGACUACAGGAUAUAUGUAUGUAAGGGGAUUUCGAAGUUGGAAGAAUUGAGCGGGCCGUAAGGCUGCCGUCUAAGCAGUAAAAUAGGGAUAACCGGAAAAUCCGUUAUUCCGAUUAAUUGAACUGCGAUGGAAAGUUCCCUGUUAAUCAGGGGACGAUUUGAUCUCUUUCAGUUUCCAAGAAACGUCUCAUUACGCCCCGCUCAGCGGGGCAAAACGUAUAUCUUCCCGUACCGCAAACCGACACAGGUGGGCUGGUCGAGAAGACUAAGGUGAUCGGAAGAUGGAUGAUUCAGGAACUCGGCAAAAAAGCUAGGCGUAACCUAUGGGAGAUGCCUUGCCCCGCUAUGCGGGGCUGCAACAAAAGUUUACUUAGCGACUGUUUAUCUAAAACACAGGUCCCUGCAAAGCCGAAAGGCAACGUAUAGGGGCUGACACCUGCCCAGUGCCGGUAAGUCAAUGAUCUCUAGUGAAGCUCGUAAGAGUACAGCUUAGGAUCAAAGCUCCGGUGAACGGCAGCAGUAACUAUAAACACAGUUUGUAGUUGUAAAAGUCGACUAAAUGCUGGAAUACCCGUACCGUAGUCUGCAAAUUAGCGGACAAACGGUUGAAGUAUCUGACGCUACCAUGUAAAAUGGUGAUAAUGCAGUCAGCGCGGACAAUCAGCAGGAAAGACUUGAGUCGAGAAGAACUAGGAUUUUAUCUAGCCGGAUUUGUUGAAGGAGAAGGUAGUUUUAACGUUUCAUUACGAAGGAAGCCUGAUUAUAAAGUAAGCUGGCAAGUCGUGAUGAGCUUUAAUGUCUCACAAAAAGAUCCAACAAUUUUGUAUUUAUUACAAGAAGAGUUGGGAUGUGGGAUUAUUAAAAUACGUAAAAUUGAUAAUCUUUUCUCUUAUGAUACAACAAAUCCAAAGGAUAUAAUCCAAAAAGUUAUUCCAUAUUUUCAGAAAUACCCACUGAUCUCAGAUUCUAAGCAGAAAAACUUUUUUAUUUUUUGCGAAAUAGCGCAAUUAAUGGAAAAAGGUGAGCAUAGAAAUCUGAAAGGGUUAAAAAGAAUUCUUGAACUUCGAGAAACAAUUAACGAAGGGAAAGGAAGAAAACGAAAAUAUUUAAUAACUGAUGUUUUUCCGACUUAAGAAUCCUCAGAGACUAUAUGUCGACUCCCGAUUAAAUCGGGAAUGAUAUAGUCCGACCUCUAUAGCGAUAUAGAGAUACGUAAUCAAUCGUACAUGUAACAAAGUGAACUGUUCUAAGGUGAAAUUCGUCGCCCUAGAAAUGACGUGUUUUAGAAAUCCGACUAUAUGCUGGAAAGACUCAGCAUCCAACAGUACUUUAAAAAGUAACAAUCUGAUUGGUGGAGUUAAUCAGCAGGAAAGACCCCGCUUAGCGGGGAAUCCUCAGAGACUAUACGUCGGAUGAUACAUCAGGUGAUGUUUCAAAGAUAUAGUCCGAACUCGUAAGCGAUUACGAGAGUCUAAGAUAAAGGAUGUCUUAGGAAUAACAUAUUGAGCGAAGUUCCUUGUCGGGCAAGUUCCGACCCGCACGAAAGGUAGAACGACUGAGUAACUGUCUUAAUCAUCUAUCCGGCGAAAUUGAGAUGGCUGUGAAGACGCGGCCUAGGUAUACAUGGACAAAAAGACCCCGGGAGCUUUACUGUAGCUUGGCAUUUGCAAGCUCGUUUUAAUUGUUUAGAGUAGGAGGGAGAUUGGUCGUUGGACUUUGGUCAUUAGUCUUUGGUUGACUAAUAGCUAAAGACCAACGGCUAAUCGUCAGUGAAACACCUCUCUUUGAAAUGAGUGAGCAUCACUUCUUGCCGCAUAAAAAUACGGCAGAGGGACAUUGUCUGGCGGGCAGUUUUACUGGGGAGGUAGACUCCUACAACGCAACGGAGUCGCGCAAUGGUUGGCUAAUCUUGAAUGGAAACCAAGAUGAUAGCGUAAAGGCAAAAGCCAGCUUGACUGCGAGACUUACAAGUCGAGCAGGUACGAAAGUAGGCCUUAGUGAUCCUCCGAUGCUUGGUGGCAAGCGCGGAGCUUAACGGCUAAAAGCUACCCCGGGGAUAACAGGCUGAUCGCAUCCAAGCGUCCACAGCGACGAUGCGGUUUGGCACCUCGAUGUCGGCUUAACGCAAAAGCGUUUGGGCCCUUCAGCGAGUAAUUGCUGAAGCAAAUUGGCUAAUAACGGUGAACUCCUAAUUGACUGAAAAAGUCUUCUACGAUUACAAUGGAGUCAAUGGACAAUACCGUGGGAAGUCGAGGGUUUGUGAAACUAACACAAAGACAAGAAGAAAUUCUCUUAGGGAAAAUGUUGGGAGAUGGGUUUCUUGAACAAAACGGAAGGAAUGUAAGAUUGAAAAUAGAUCAUGGAGCCGAUCAAAAACACUAUGUUUUUUGGCUUUAUGACGAGUUUAAAAAUAUAGCAUUAGAACCUUAUCAAAUAUUUGUUCACGAUAAGCGAAAUAGUCAAAUAUAUGAACAUUGGCGUUUUGCAACAUAUUCAUUAUCAAUAUUAAAUUCCUGGAGAGACUUUUUUUACUUAAACGGGAAAAAAUUUAUUCCUUUUAGGUUAACUGAGUUAAUUACUCCUUUGUCUUUGGCGGUUUGGUAUAUGGAUGACGGUUUCCGUCGGACAGAUUGUAAAGGUUUAUAUCUUUGCACAUCUGCAUAUUCGAUGGAAGAGCAUUAUUUAUUACAGAAGAUUCUUGAGCAGAGAUUUAAAGUUCAGACAUCACUGCAUUUUGCAGGUAAGAAUGUCAGGAUAUAUGUCUCUUCCUCUCAAGUAAAUAAAUUUUGUAAUAUUGUUCAGCCAUUCAUAUUGCCAAGAUUUCAAUACAAACUCUUUGACCCCGUAACGACUGAUUCUUUAGCAAGCUAAAUUGAACCUUUAGUUUGUGAUAGAUGAGAUUCUUUAUUUUAUAUGGGAAUCAUACGCCAACACCCGGAUUAGCCGGGUGAUGAUAUAGUCUAACCCUUAUGGAAACAUGAGAUUGGUUGCAUCGCAUCCUGGAGCUGUAGAAGGUUCCAAUGGUCCGGCUGUUCGCCGGUUAAAGCGGUACGCGAGCUGGGUUCAGAACGUCGUAAGACAGUUCGGUCUCUAUCCUGUAUACACGUUUGAGAUUUGAGGAGGUUCGUCCCUAGUACGAGAGGACUGGGAUGUGGGAAUCCCUGGUGUGCCAGUUGUUCCGAAAAUGUCGGGCAGUGCUGGGUAGCUAGAUUCCUAUCGGAUAACCGCUGAAAGCAUCUAAGUGGGAAGCCGUCUCCGAGAUUAGAUCUCGAUUCCCGCCGAUUUGGCGGGAGAAAGACCCCUGGUAGACUACCAGGUUGAUAGGCGGGCGGUGUAAGUGCAGUAAUGCAUUGAGCUUACCCGUACUAAUGGUCGAGAAGUAAAACUUU
rnacentral:rRNA from 1 species